rnacentral:rRNA from 1 species
GGAAGGUAUGAAUGGUUUGACGUGGGAAAAACUGUCUCUUCUGCAUAUGAAGAAGUUUAUUUUUGAGUGAAAAAGCUUAGAUGGUUUUAAAAGACGAGAAGACCCUAUCGAACUUGAAUUAGGUAUUUAAAUUUUUUAAGUAUUGAAAGUUUAGUUGGGGAAACUUAAAGUAAAAAAAAACGCUUUAUUUUUUUGUAAAGAUCCUGUAUUAUGGAAAAACGAAAAAGUUACCGUAGGGAUAACAGCGCUUUCUUCUCUGAGAGGACUAAUUAAAGAGUUGGUUGCGACCUCGAUGUUGGAUUAAAAUUUCUUUUUGGGGUAGGGGU